rnacentral:rRNA from 1 species
UCCUACGGGAGGCAGCAGUGGGGAAUAUUGGACAAUGGGCGAAAGCCUGAUCCAGCCAUGCCGCGUGUGUGAAGAAGGUCUUCGGAUUGUAAAGCACUUUAAGUUGGGAGGAAGGGCAGUAACCUAAUACGUUAUUGUUUUGACGUUACCGACAGAAUAAGCACCGGCUAACUCUGUGCCAGCAGCCGCGGUAAUA